UUAUGCAUGUUGCACCUCCUUCCCUGACUGCCUUGCAGUUUUGUAAAGCUUUGGUUUUGUGGAGAACCCAAAGGCAGGCAUCAAUACUUGGUAGGCAUAAAGCUAUGGGAGUUGCUGUAGUCAUGGAGAGAAAUGGGAGAUGGCAGGAGAGACACUUUAACAGACCAGAGGAUUCAAGACCUAAUUGAUUAACUCGCUCCAAGGAAGCAUCAGUGGCUGAUGUGUGGAGGGGAAGACUGUGGGGGCAUACAGAAGAGGCCAAAGCUGCUUGGAUGGAAUUAUGUGAAAAGAUUGCAGUCCUCUGGCUGUUCCUUGAGCAACAGGAUCGAAUACCUUCUCUUGCAGGGCUGCAUGCAACAGGAAAUAAAGUCAGACACGAUAUAUUUUAUACCAGCUGUGAAAGAAUGAAGAUCUUCUGCCUUCAGCCUUGGGAAGAAUUUUAGCAACUGCAUAUUAAUGAAGCCGUAGAACAUAAUCACGGGCUUAGUCUUCUGCCAAACGUGGUGAAUUGGUGAAUUGAGGCCUUAGUGGCCUCUCUGACCUUCAGAUGGAAUAAUCUGGUCAGCCAUAAUCAAAUCACAAACUCUUGAUAAUUUCAACCCCCUUUUAGACACUUCUCUUGUUUCAAUUAACAAUCCAUUACAACUGAAAGGCAAGGCAGAGGAAAUCACGUGUCUAGCUUCUUCCUGGGUCUGGGAAACUAGUUGCUGAAUGUGUCACUUUAAUAAAACCCAUGGGAAACUUGGAAGGCUUGGAUUUAUUCUGUUGUUAUUAAAAGAAUGUUUUAGUAGAGUGCAUAACUUGAUUUUUUUUCUGCUUGCCAUUUGAUCAAGUAAACUUGAUUUCCACGUGUUCAAUUGCCUUUGCCUGCAAAGCUGCUUCACUCCUUUAAAUAAUAAUUUCAUUUUGGUUCAGCUUUUACAGAGAACAUUGGAUUCCUUUUUUUGAAUUUUAAAUCAAGGACUAAGCAAAAUAUAGGGCUUACAUUGCUGGACCUGGUUUCCAUUGACAUUAUGGCCUAUUGAUGUUCAUCAAAUUUUGUAACCAGACUAUGGAGUUGAUGUGAAUAAAGUUAAGGUCCAGUUUCAGGGUCCUUUGCUCUUGCAGAGGACAGUAGAAGGGCAUGGUAUGAACUCAAAUCAGGUCCUCAUGAUAUAUUUUUGUCUGAAGUAACUGUACUAGAAACAGCUGAAUAUUGUCUGAAGGGAGUAGUUUGACCUACAGUUGCAUCAGUAUGCAAAGGAGGUGACUCCAAACAGCUGGACAAUCAUAAACAUUUUCUAAAUCAGAUUUUAUAGUGAAGGGUGAUUACAAAGUGACUAUUUGCUGUGUAUUUAACCAGUAAUUGCUCAGAUCACUAUUUGGGUUAUUUCACUACUAUUUAAUUAUAGCAUUUUAAAAAUGAGAAGCAUUUGAGAAUGUUCAUCUAGGAGUGGUGCAUCACUGCAUAUUUUACAAUUUUUUUUACUCUGAACAUACCAAAAUGAGGCCCAUCCAAUGCAUUUCUUCAUUAGGCUCCCAACAAAGUGCAAGACUUGACCAUUAGCAUUAAAGCUGCUCCUAAAGGCAGAAGGCAGAGGCUGCUAGUCAGCACUCCAGUGUCAGCCCAGCUCUGCCCCUAUUAUUGUGGCCUGAGGCAUGGUGAUUGGGAAAAUCCCAUAAUAAUACGAUCUCUCUUGUGUUUUCCCAUUGAGACAUCAAGAUUUGCAUUACAUGUGUAAAAAGUCCCGGGGUUAAUGACUACCUCUAGGACCCUUGAGGUUCAUGAGAACUUGCGAAUUUUUUUAUGUGUUUACCCUGUGUUUUUUGUUUCUGGUGCCAGCAUUUAGGCUCUGUGACAAUAUACCUCCAUUGCAGUUGUUUGCUCAGGGUUUGCCUGUUUUGGUUAGCUUUACUGUCAGUUCCAUACCUUUCUAGCGACUGUUUUUUUCAAAAUAUCUAUCUACAUCCUGGUCAUACUUAAUUUCCUAAUACUCAACCCAAAUAACUCCCAUCUGAAUUUGUUUCCUUUUCUUUCCAUUUCUUUUUUGAGCAUUUCUCCAUUUUUGCAAUUUCUAUGGCGUUGUUUGGUUGUCCUGAAUGCUACCAGUGGUGCUCACACAGGUAAACCCAGCACACAUAUUUCCCUCUUCACCCUCUAAGACUAUAUAAUGCAGUACAGUUGCUCAACAAAUUAUGAAAAGACUAAAUGAAUACUCAUGUCAUGAAAACAAAUUCCUUUUCAAGUGAAUUUUACUUGAUGAAAUAUCCACAAUUACAACAUGAUCUUUAUACUUAUGUCCAAAUUUUAGGUACAUGAAAAAUAGAAUACAAAACUUUUUCUUUUUUUUUUUUUUUUAAAUUACAGGUAACCAGGAAUUCCAAUUUGCUUGAGGAACACAGGUUAUAUUUUUUUGGAAGCAAAGGUUCAUACAUGUUAAAACAUGGACACAAAUUAAAAGUAAGCCUUUUAAAGCUGGAAUCCAGGAUUUUUUAUUUUUUUUUCACACAUGAAACAUUAAAAAGAGUUUUGUGAAAUGACAUUGAAAAGACUGCUGGUGAGAUUCAUAAAAUAAUAACUAAUUUUAACACGUGCUGUGUCAUUGUAUCUGAGAGGAACAAAAGGACAUUCAAUGAAUUUUGAAGGAAACAAAUUUAAAACCAAUAAAAUGAUUUUUCCUUUAGUACAAUGACUAACUGGCAUACUUAUGUCAUUACUACAAGAUACAGUAUCAGAAAUAAACAUUUCUGUGAAUAAGGAGAACAGUUAUAUUAGGCUGUAUAGAUAAUUUAUGUGGGGUAUAAACUCUCAUGAUUCAGGACAUAAACCACCUAUUAAAUAACAGGGGUUGAUAAAACAUGUUCCCUAAGCACAGAGUAAUCUUACAUGGUGCUCCUCUUUGCUGUGACACAUUUUGAGGUAGUGCUGAAUCUUGAAAUAAAGGUACGAAAUUAUGUGGAACAAUGAUACAAUUAAGCGUGGCAACUAUUUUGCUCAAACAUACUGUUUCUGAGCAUAAGCAGUCACAGAAAAUAUCCAACAUCUCUGAUCUUGAUGAUGAUGAAACUUUAAAGCUUUUACCUUAAUAUUCCUUUUUUGAAAAAAAAAAAUAAAUAAAAAAAUAGGGUUUGAUACCCAGCCCUCUUCUCCAAUGUUCCUAGUUUUCUAUCUGAUGUAUUGACUCACCUCAGAUAGGCCAGAUAAUCUCCACCAUUAAACUCUUUCUCUUUGCUCUUCCUUUUCCUUAAUUUCACACCCUGAAUAUAAAGUAAAGCUGAAGGCAACUGCCUGUGGUUUGUCCUGUUGUUUCCUAAACAGGAAAACAUGUGAUGUGGCAAAGUUCUUGUCCUACUUAUCUUAAUUCAAAAUGUUUUACCCUUUUAAUCCUACAGGGACAUUUUGCAGAAACUUCACACCUCCGUGUCACUUUCUGUUUAGUUUCAAGGUUGUCUGAAUUGCAAUUAAUUGACAUCUGGACUUUUAUUUGAGACAAUGUCAUCUCCUGAGAAUGUUUCUGGAUGACACAAAGUUAUCUCUUAGUUGUUGAUGUUUAAUUAGAGAUUCCAAUUAAUUAUUCUAUAUGUCCCUUCAUA